GGCAGAGGCGGCGGGAGGAAGCUCAGCUGAGACAGGACGGGAGUACCGACCCCCGCGGGCUGGAUGACAGCUCUUAAAGAAGGAGGACCUGCAAAGUGAUAGAGAACCCCAGAAACAAGACCACAGAUCUCUGAGGCAUGAGAAUCAGGCUUUCUCAGCAGAGAAGAACAUGACCUCAUCUCACUGGGAAAGAAAGGGGAGCAGCAGAUUUACCAGAGGACCCCGCGUGACCUUGAGUCAACUGCCUCCAUAACCUUGAAAUGCCAUUCGAAUAGCCUGGCUGGAGCUGCCCCAAGAUCAUUCAGGAAGAGGAAGCAGGAGGCCCUUUAUUAUAACCUGGGUUUCCGUCGGGGAAGUCCAAUGGCAGAGGUGUCCUGACUUUCCUUGAGUCUAUUGUUCUCUGAGCUAUUUGGCUAAGGAAGACGCUUGGCCUUCUGGACUCUGCUGUCCCCAGCCUCCUCAUGGACGGGUCUCUUGGAUAAGUGGGAGAACUUCCUUCUAAUAGGGACAAUGGCAUCCUGGCCUUGCACCUUCCGCCUCUGCUGGGGUCCUACAGAUAGCUCAUGCUACUUCCUUUUUCUUUGUCCAUAUGGGCCAGAAAACGCUGUUUCAGGCUUUAAGAAGAGUGAGGCCCUUUCUUUUCCAUAACAGGAAUGAUUUCUUAAGCUCUGGACCAUGGAAAACCCUUAUGAUGUAAUUCCUUCCUAUCUCUUCUAGUAUUUUGGUGAUUUGGCCAAGCCACACCCCCUCUGGGCCUCAGUUUCCCUAUCUGUAAAAUGAGAGGGGUGGUCUCCUAAGUUCCCUUCCACCUCUAUUCUAAAUGCUGAGUAGGUUCUGAUCUGCAUUGUUAGAGGGAGCUCCUAUAUUGAUGAAAUCACAAGUCUAGUUAAAAAUAAAGUACUUGCCUCCCAAACUUCCUGCUGAAGC